rnacentral:rRNA from 1 species
GACGAACGCUGGCGGCGUGCUUAACACAUGCAAGUCGAACGGAAAGGCCCUGCUUUUGUGGGGUGCUCGAGUGGUGAACGGGUGAGUAACACGUGAGUAACCUGCCCUUGACUUUGGGAUAACUUCAGGAAACUGGGGCUAAUACCGGAUAGGAGCUCCUGCUGCAUGGUGGGGGUUGGAAAGUUUCGGCGGUUGGGGAUGGACUCGCGGCUUAUCAGCUUGUUGGUGGGGUAGUGGCUUGCCAAGGCUUUGACGGGUAGCCGGCCUGAGAGGGUGACCGGCCACAUUGGGACUGAGAUACGGCCCAGACUCCUACGGGAGGCAGCAGUGGGGAAUAUUGCACAAUGGGCGGAAGCCUGAUGCAGCAACGCCGCGUGCGGGAUGACGGCCUUCGGGUUGUAAACCGCUUUCGCCUGUGACGAAGCGUGAGUGACGGUAAUGGGUAAAGAAGCACCGGCUAACUACGUG